GUUGGCUUUUUCAAAGGCAAAAGUAACUUACAGAAAUGUCAGCAGAGGUGAGAAGUCAUUAUUUUAGAGCUAGUCAAUUAAACUAACUGCAAUGAAAACAUGUUCUUUCUAUGUGAUGACAGAAAACAGUGAUAAACGUGGUGAUGUGUUCAUACUGGUAAAGAUAUCCUACAAUCUGUAAUUAUGUUCUUCCUAGCUUAUUAAUUAACUGAUUUCUGCAGCAUUUUUAUGGGGAAGGGAGGGCUGUGUUCAUGAGUAGGGCAUUGCAGAAUUUGGUUUGUGUCCAGUGAUUUUCAGGACAGGCUUGUGGCUAAAACAAUGAUCUACAUUGUCUGUCCUUAGGAGACUGAGACUGACUCCUGAUAUUACCAGGAAAAACCUCCUUGCUGUGCUUUUCGCUUGGCAUAUUCCCCAAGGUGUACUUCAUCAUGCUACAGGUGACCUGCCUUUGUGGCAGCAAAUUAGAACUGAAAAUGAUCACAGGGUGCUGAGGUACCUGCUAGCAGAGCCCUGGUAUCUGCUGUUACAAACACCAGCAAGAUUUGUAGGAGGUUUGUAUUAACUUCAGGCUUCCAAAAAGAUUCCGUGGACAGCUGGUGUUGUAUUUUGGAAGCCCUUUAAAAUCCAGAGCUAACAUGGGAAUAAUCUUUUUUUGCAGCUGUAUUGUUUUAGACGUGCCUUUCCUUGGAAACACAGAGCAGAAGCCUCAUGAGAGCUGGUACCGUAGAGGAUACCUCGCUACAAGUAGCUGCAGUAUCAAACUGGAUGUCCUGAACAGUUGUUAUCUAAACUAUAUUACAUUAGAUAAUCAGUAAUGUCUUAAAUCUGUUCCUAUUUUUAAGGUAUUGAGGUUCUGUUGUGUUGGUUUUUUUUUCAUACUAUUGUUUUAUUUUGUAUUCAAAUGAGAAUGAGAUUUUUCUUGAUUUUCGCAGCUGCAUUGAAUAGAAUAGAAUUCUGAAUAGAAUUUCCUUUACCAAUUAUAAAAGGGGUUUGGUGAAAGGCAAAUUGUACAGUAGCUGCCUGCUUAGCUGACAGGUGAGAGAUUUAUUAGGGGGCUGUAUUAUGUUUGUUGAUUUAUUUAUUAUUAAAAAUCCCUGGUAUCACUUAUGUUCUCUUCUAUAUUUUUGGCUUCUGAGUAAACAAAGUCAUAAAUGGAACAGGUGUAAAUUUUCCUGGUCUCUUUACAGUGUAGACUCUAUACCUGUAGGAAACUUAUGACAAAAUAAAUAUAUAAAUAAAUCUCUUUUAAUAUUCUCC
rnacentral:lncRNA from 1 species